rnacentral:rRNA from 1 species
GAGACAGCAGCCGCCGCGGUAAUACGAGGGGGGCAAGCGUUGUUCGGAUUUAUUGGGCGUAAAGGGUGCGUAGGCGGUUUGGCAAGUCUUGUGUGAAAUCUAUGGGCUCAACCCAUAGCCUGCACGAGAAACUACCGGGCUUGAGUGAUGGAGAGGUGAGUGGAAUUUCCGGUGUAGCGGUGAAAUGCGUAGAUAUCGGAAGGAACACCUGUGGCGAAAGCGGCUCACUGGACAUUAACUGACGCUGAUGCACGAAAGCUAGGGGAGCAAACAGGAUUAGAGACCCCUGUAGUCCCUGUCUCUUAUAC